rnacentral:lncRNA from 1 species
AGAACUGGGAAGCCUUGAAGCACUUUAGGUGGAAGUGACUGUGUGUAUGUGUGUGGGAUGUGGUGGUGAAUGUGGGGAUAACCUGAUUCGCAUUUUAAAGGUAUCACUUUGAUGACAGUGGAGUGUAGACUGGGGGCAGAUGAAGAUGGAUGUCAUGUUAACAGUGUGAAGAAACAUCCUGAAGUUAUUCACAGUGACUUCAAUGAACAACACAUCAGUAUACUUUUUACACAGGGGACAAAAGUAAAAGCCGGCUUGAUCAUUUACAAGGCUUUCACCAUGCCGCUGAGACGUCAAGGACUACAAGUUGAUCUUCAGCUUCUUAAAAUAUGGCCUCCAAGCCUUUCAUGUCUUCAGUCAACUCCAGCAUUUUGACUGAUGGGAGCUCGUGUGUGUUUGUGUGCAGUGGGAGAGAGGACACAAUCCCGAACCUGACACAGCCUGUGCCUGGAGCAGCCUGCGCCUGCUGCCCUCAAUCAUUUAGGUAUAUACAAUGAACCUCACCUGAAACAAUGUUUGUACAAUCGCUAAUGCCAGUGGCUAAUCCUUCCUAUUUGCCUGCUUUAUCUCAACACUGUCAUCUGUUGAGGUGAAUAUCAAUAUUCAAACAACAAUAACAAAAGAUCCUGUCAUCAAAGUGGAAAUAAAUGAGUAUUUU